AGUACCACCACACACAGCUUUUGUUGUUUUGAGACAGGAGCUGUGUGUGGUGGCACAUGC
rnacentral:miRNA from 14 species